rnacentral:tRNA from 1 species
GGUCGGAAGUUCAAGUCUUCCCAGGCCCACCACACUCAUCGAGUAGGCAUUCGUCUUCUGGUUACGGGGCCAUAGCUCAGCUGGGAGAGCGCGUGCUUUGCAAGCAUGAGGUCGUCGGUUCGAUCCCGUCUGGCUCCACCAGAUGGUUUGAUUGCCGACACGUUGUGUAGCUAAAUCGUCCGCGAAACAUCACUUCGCACUUGCUAGUCCGGAUGGACAGUAAGCUGCGUGAUUUCUGACAUCGUAAAGAGGAGAUCGAUCCGAGUUGGAUCGUGCAGAAGAUUUCUGCGCGAGACUUCAUUAUCUCCGGAUCAUUUCGGCGCUUGCGCGCCUUUCAAGAUAGCCCUCGGGUUACUUUGAAGGACGGGCGAGUUGUAAAUGAUCCUUUUAGCGAAGCUUGACCGCCUCGCUAUCGGAACGAUCUUACGAAGCAAGCUGGUCUUUCUAAUCAUUGUCCGGCUGUACAUAGCGUUCAUCGAGGGCGCGUGCCGCAAGGUAAUUGUACAGACAACAUUCUGCCGAGUGUGUGGACAUUGAUAAUGAGAGCA